rnacentral:lncRNA from 1 species
CCAGCAAUUAACGCCAGCCACGAUGUACAUGUGGUUUAGGCCGGAUGAAGAACUAUAUGUACGUGUUUGAGGCACUAAAUAGGGUAAGAUGGAAAGAAGGUCAAUAAGACAUGAGAGGUGGGUGGACUAGAUUAGAAAAGGAGCAAAAUGGUCAAUGAAUUCAACUGAUGAAAGAAACAAACUCUCUUGGAGGCUGCAUUGUGAGAUGUGCAAGAUCAUCGAUCAACACUUAUCAUCUGGGAUAUGAACUAAUAUGCUCUCUAAAUAGAAGCACAAGAGUAGACGCGAUUGCUAUAUAACAGCGGAAAAGCUGAAUGCCCUUGGCUGGCGGCGUGUCAAACUCAACCGUGUAAUGGAGGAUCAUCCGUGACACACUCUCACGGACCAUCCCAAGUUUUUUUUUUUAAGUUAAACUGUAAGAGUUGCGUGAUUGCAGUCCGACACUAUAUAGAUAUAUAAUUUUUACAAAGUGAGACACAAAGUACGACCUUUGAGGAUCGAACUCUGGUGGGCUGCUAGCACACCUGGCUGGCUGACCACCCAAGCUAUGCUUGUUUCUCCAUCCGAAGUUCUUUGAAGCAGCGUGGUGGGGAUCGGAGACUAGUCCUGGAAGUUCGAACAACCGACUCGCUGAAAUCUUGAAAUUUUUUGAUGCCUCCCAUAUCUACACGUAUUGUUUUUGGAAACAAGUAAGCUGAAACUGGCUCGGAAUCUCACUUUUAUCUACAUGGCACAUUUGGGGCGUAAGGCAAAGGAACACUAUAUAUGGAUGAGAGUGACACAAUCCAAGUUUAUCUCACAGCUAUUUACUUG